AAGACCAUACUUUCAGGAUCAUUUCUAUAGUCUGAUCAGUACUAGAGAAGUUUCUCCGAACGAGUAGAGCAUGGAAACCACCAGGAGGAGGCGCAGCGUCCUCUCCUGAGCGUGAAGCCGGUCUGGUCGCUUCGCUGCAACUGCCAUUUGCAAUCGAAGACCGUCCUUCUCUUCCUUUGGGAGAGUGAGGGGCAGAGGACCGUCUGAGCUGU